rnacentral:rRNA from 1 species
UACGGAGGAUGCAAGCGUUAUCCGGAAUGAUUGGGCGUAAAGCGUCCGCAGGUGGCAAUGUAAGUCUGCUGUCAAAGCGUCUGGCUCAACCAGAUAAAGGCAGUGGAAACUACAUAGCUAGAGUAAGGUAGGGGUAGAGGGAAUUCCUGGUGUGGCGGUGAAAUGCGUAGAGAUCAGGAAGAACACCGGUGGCGAAAGCGCUCUGCUGGACCUUAACUGACACUGAGGGACGAAAGCUAGGGGAGCGAAUGGG